UACGGGGGGAGCAAGCGUUGUUCGGAUUUACUGGGCGUAAAGCGUGCGCAGGCGGUGCGCCAAGCUCGAUGUGAAAGCCCCGGGCUUAACCUGGGAAUUGCAUUGAGGACUGGCGUGCUCGAGUGCGGCAGAGGGGGGUGGAAUUCCACGUGUAGCAGUGAAAUGCGUAGAGAUGUGGAGGAACGCCGAUGGCGAAGGCAGCCCCCUGGGCCGACACUGACGCUCAUGCACGAAAGCGUGGGGAGCAAACAGG
rnacentral:rRNA from 1 species